rnacentral:misc_RNA from 1 species
GAAAAGUAAAGUUCUGUUUCUUCGUCUAGUUUAAAUCCGUUGUGGAUUUCAUUGGCAAUCACCGUUAUAAUUUAAUACAAUAGCGUUACAAGAAACCCUGAUGUUGUAAUAAUUACUGGGGCGUUUUCUUGUACUUAAUUUUUGAAUCCUGUGACCUUUUUAUACAUUGUUGCAUGGAGAUGGACGAAGAAGGAGAUGAAUCUGACUUGAGUGCUCUUGAAAUUGCAAGGAUUACAAACAUGUGUGAAAUUCAUUUUAUCAAAGCUCAACUGGUGAACUCUGACAUAGAUAGGAUAAUGGGCAGUAAUAACAAAUUAACAAGUAGUUUGUGGUUAUUAAAGUGGCUCUUGAUGGAAACUAGGUUGCCUGUGUUACAUACGUGGAUUUGACCAUUCUUGUCUGUUCAAUGAAACAUCCUCUGACAACUAGUAAGUGUUGGUUACUGUUAUCAUCUUCUUUUGUGUCAGUCCAUGUCUUUAUGAAUCUUCCUCUUGUUCUUUUAAUGCUUUCUACUCGUAAGAAGUCACCUUUUUUUGUACCGGUGCAUUCCUUGGCCUAUCUCGUUCUUAUGCAAACUAUUGUUAAUCAAUCCAUCUCUGUCAUCAAAUGGUACAACCUCUAGUUUUUUCUGGAUAUUUUGUUCCCUA